rnacentral:rRNA from 1 species
AACGAACGCUGGCGGCAUGCCUAACACAUGCAAGUCGAACGAAGCCUUCGGGCUUAGUGGCGCACGGGUGCGUAACGCGUGGGAAUCUGCCCUUGGGUUCGGGAUAACAGUUAGAAAUGACUGCUAAUACCGGAUGAUGUCUUCGGACCAAAGAUUUAUCGCCCAAGGAUGAGCCCGCGUAGGAUUAGGUAGUUGGUGGGGUAAUGGCCCACCAAGCCGACGAUCCUUAGCUGGUCCGAGAGGAUGAUCAGCCACACUGGGACUGAGACACGGCCCAGACUCCUACGGGAGGCAGCAGUGGGGAAUAUUGGACAAUGGGCGAAAGCCUGAUCCAGCAAUGCCGCGUGAGUGAUGAAGGCCUUAGGGUUGUAAAGCUCUUUUACCAGGGAUGAUAAUGACAGUACCUGGAGAAUAAGCUCCGGCUAACUCCGUGCCAGCAGCCGCCGCGGUAA